AGAGUUUGAUCCUGGCUCAGAAUGAACGCUGGCGGCGUGCUUAACACAUGCAAGUCGCACGAGAACGCUUCAGCUUGCUGAAGUUAGUAAAGUGGCGCACGGGUGAGUAACGCGUGGGUAAUCUACCCCCGAAUUGGGGAUAACAUCGCGAAAGCGAUGCUAAUACCGAAUGAUAUCUUGAAAACUCUGUUUUCUGGAUCAAAGGUGGCCUCUACAUGUAAGCUAUUGUUUGGGGAUGAGCCCGCGUACCAUUAGCUUGUUGGUAGGGUAAUGGCCUACCAAGGCAACGAUGGUUAGCUGGUCUGAGAGGAUGAUCAGCCACACUGGAACUGACACACGGUCCAGACUCCUACGGGAGGCAGCAGUGAGGAAUUUUGCGCAAUGGGGGAAACCCUGACGCAGCAACGCCGCGUGAGUGAUGAAGGCUUUCGGGUCGUAAAGCUCUGUCAAGUGGGAAGAAAUCAUAUGGUGUUAAUAUCGCCAUAUGCUGACGGUACCAUUGAAGAAAGCACCGGCUAACUCCGUGCCAGCAGCCGCGGUAAUACGGGGGGUGCGAACGUUAUUCGGAUUUACUGGGCGUAAAGAGCGCGUAGGCGGUCUUUUAAGUCAGGUGUGAAAGCCCGGGGCUCAACCCCGGAAGUGCACUUGAAACUAAGAGACUUGAGUAUGGGAGAGGGAAGUGGAAUUCCUGGUGUAGCG
rnacentral:rRNA from 1 species